CUCUACUUUGAUACCUUCUUCCUCUCUUAUCAGUGGUGACUAAAAUCCUGAGCCGAUACCACCACUACCUUCUUCUUCUUCUCCUGCUUCUUAAACCUUGAUCUCUUGUUUUAUACUACAGAUGAAAACCUAGAUCCAGUAUUUAUAUUCAUUAUCUAGGGUUUCAAGAUAUAUCUACAAAGUGAUACAGCAACCCUGGUAAGGUCUUCUGUAUAUUUUAUAAUCAUCAUCGUUGUCGUCUUCAGAAGAUGGAAGUAGCUGCUAAUCUGAGGGGGGUUAAUUUGAUUUCCAUAAUUUCUAUAAUUGGAUUGCAAGGAAGUUGCAAGGAUUAGGGAUUCAAUGAGAUUGUUUGGAGAAGAGGAGCCAGUAUUGCGUCUUCUUACAUUGAUGAAGGAUGCAAUCAGGAAUGAGAAGUUUGAGAUUUUAUGGCACCACAAGGAGUUAAUGGCG